UGGGGAAUCUUGCACAAUGGGGGAAACCCUGAUGCAGCGACGCCGCGUGAGCGAUGAAGCCCUUCGGGGUGUAAAGCUCUUUCGACGGGAACGAUAAUGACGGUACCCGGAGAAGAAGCUGCGGCUAACUACGUGCCAGCAGCCGCGGUAAUACGUAGGCAGCGAGCGUUGUUCGGAGUUACUGGGCGUAAAGAGUAUGUAGGCGGUUGCGCAAGUUCGGUGUGAAAUCUCCCGGCUUAACUGGGAGGGUGCGCCGAAGACUGCGUGGCUAGAGUGCGGGAGAGGAGAGCGGAAUUCCUGGUGUAGCGGUGAAAUGCGUAGAUAUCAGGAGGAACACCGGUGGUGUAGACGGCUCUCUGGACCGCAACUGACGCUGAGAUACGAAAGCGUGGGGAGCAAACAGG
rnacentral:rRNA from 2 species